AUUGAACGCUGGCGGUAGGCCUAACACAUGCAAGUCGAGCGGCAGCACAGUACUUGCUUCUUCAUACGGGUGGCGAGUGGCGGAUAAUUGCGAGGAACAUCGGUAUUAGCUUUGUCUAGCGGGCGAACGCAGGCGCACAUACCCCAUUCCCCCAUACGACCUACGGGUGGAAUCAUGGGAUCUUACGCCCUCGGACGAGUCUAUGUCGCGAGGUCGGAUUAGCUAGGUGGAGGGGUAAAGGCCCACCAAGGCGACGAUCCGUAACUGGUCUGAGAGGAUGAUCAGCCACACUGGAACUGAGACACGGUCCAGACUCCUACGGGAGGCAGCAGUGGGGAAUAUUGGACAAUGGGCGAAAGCCUGAUCCAGCCAUGCCGCGUGUGUGAAGAAGGUCUUCGGAUUGUAAAGCACUUUUGGUGGGGAAGAAGAGCAGUAAGUUAAUACCUCGCUGUUUUGACGGUACCAAAAGAAUAAGCACCGGCUAACUUCGUG
rnacentral:rRNA from 1 species